AUUGAACGCUGGCGGAAUGCUUUACACAUGCAAGUCGAACGGUAGAGGGGGCAACCCCUUGAGAGUGGCGAACGGGUGAGUAAUAUAUCGGAACGUGCCCAGUCGUGGGGAUAACGUAGCGAAAGUUACGCUAAUACCGCAUACGAUCUAAGGAUGAAAGCGGGGGAUCGCAAGACCUCGCGCGAUUGGAGCGGCCGAUAUCAGAUUAGGUAGUUGGUGAGGUAAAGGCUCACCAAGCCAACGAUCUGUAGCUGGUCUGAGAGGACGACCAGCCACACUGGAACUGAGACACGGUCCAGACUCCUACGGGAGGCAGCAGUGGGGAAUUUUGGACAAUGGACGCAAGUCUGAUCCAGCCAUUCCGCGUGCAGGAUGAAGGCCCUCGGGUUGUAAACUGCUUUUGUACGGAACGAAAAGGUUUCUAUUAAUACUAGGAGCUCAUGACGGUACCGUAAGAAUAAGACACCGGCUAACUACGUGCCAGCAGCCGCGG
rnacentral:rRNA from 1 species